GACGAACCGAGCGAACGUUGUUCGGAAUCACUGGGCUUAAAGGGCGCGUAGGCGGGCUGUCAAGUCUGGGGUGAAAUCCCGCGGCUCAACCGCGGAACGGCCUCGGAUACUGUCGGCCUCGAGGGGGGUAGGGGCAUCUGGAACUGUCGGUGGAGAGGUGAAAUGCGUAGAGAUGCGGAGGAACACCGGUGGCGAAGGCGGGUCUCUGGGCCGAUACUGACGCUGAGGAGCGAAAGCGUGGGGAGCAAACAGG
rnacentral:rRNA from 1 species